rnacentral:rRNA from 1 species
CCUACGGGAGGCAGCAGUGAGGAAUAUUGGUCAAUGGCCGGAAGGCUGAACCAGCCAAGCCGCGUGAAGGACGAAGGUGCCAAGCAUUGUAAACUUCUUUUGUCAAGGGACAAAAUCAGGCUCGAGAGCCUGACCGAGGGUACUUGAAGAAAAAGCAUCGGCUAACUCCGUGCCAGCAGCCGCGGUAAUACGGAGGAUGCGAGCGUUAUCCGGAUUUAUUGGGUUUAAAGGGUGCGUAGGCUGUGAGGUAAGUCAGCGGUGAAAUGCCCCCGCUCAACGGGGUGAAGUGCCAUUGAUACUGCCUUGCUGGAAUGCGGAUGCCGUGGGAGGAAUGUGUGGUGUAGCGGUGAAAUGCAUAGAUAUCACACAGAACACCGAUUGCGAAGGCAUCUCACGAAUCCGCGAUUGACGCUGAUGCACGAAAGCGUGGGUAUCAAACAGGAUUAGAUACCCUUGUAGUC